rnacentral:tRNA from 1 species
AGCUCAGUCGGUAGAGCGCCGGACUGUUAAUCCGUAGGUCCCUGGUUCGAGCCGAGGGCCA